rnacentral:rRNA from 1 species
CCUACGGGUGGCAGCAGUGAGGAAUAUUGGUCAAUGGACGCGAGUCUGAACCAGCCAUGCCGCGUGCGGGAAGAAGGCUCUAUGAGUUGUAAACUGCUUUUGUACGAGGGUAAAGGCAGAUACGCGUAUCUGUCUGAGAGUAUCGUACGAAUAAGGAUCGGCUAACUCCGUGCCAGCAGCCGCGGUAAUACGGAGGAUUCAAGCGUUAUCCGGAUUUAUUGGGGUUAAAGGGUGCGUAGGCGGUCGGAUAAGUUAGAGGUGAAAUCCCGAGGCUCAACUUCGGCAUGGCCUUUGAUACUGUCAGUCUAGAGAGUAGUUGCGGUAGGCGGAAUGCACGGUGUAGCGGUGAAAUGCUUAGAGAUCACACAGAACACCGAUUGCGAAGGCAGCUUACCAAG